UCUCUCUAAAAGCCGUCUUUUUUGACAAAGAUGUCUUCUCGUAAGGUUCGUUGUUGGUUGUUGUUGAAAGGUUAUUUCCUAAAGCGACGCUUUUUGGGGUGUUAUUAUAACACUUGAAAUCUUUCUGCAAGAAUCCUUGGAUUUUGGUUUUGGAAGAAGAGGAGGGCCUUUGUGGACUGAUUUAAGAGAAUGAAAAUUGAAUUAAAUCUGGGAACUGAGAUUAUGCUUUAUGCAGUAAAAGGUGCCUCACCAUCAAUAUUAUAACAUAAAAGGAAUAGUUCUUGGGGGACCAUCUAUAAAGAUUAAUAACCCAUGAAGAAUUAUUGAAUAGAAGAUUAAUUCAAAGUGUAUGAGGCCCAUAACCUGUUGAACUGGAGGAUACAAAACAUCCGCGUGGUACGAAUGAGGGUGCUAAUGGACCAACAUUUUUUUAAGAUAAUCUCAACAAGGUCUAGUGUUAGUUCUAGUUACACCUGUUAUUCAUAGUGAAUUAUAAAACUAGAACUAAUACAAUACUAGAAGUAGAAAUAAAACUGAGGACACUUGAGGUCUAGUGUUAAUUCCAGUGCUACUGUUAGCUCUAGUUUUAG